rnacentral:lncRNA from 1 species
UUUUCUAAGUUUAUUUCGUUUUUAUGCUUCUGCUUUGUGUUUCCCCAGAGAACUCUGCACCCUGGGAGGAAAUUCAGAGAAGUCUUGCAGUGAGUCACACCGUGCUCAGGAGCAGGUCUUCCAGCUCAUCAGCGAGGUUCUCUGUGAAACACCCCUGUACGCUUGCCGUUAGUGUGCCGGGCACCGCACGGCUGUGAUGAAAGCUCUGCCCUCACGCUCAAAUGACAAAUUAAUCAGGAGGCUUUUGCAAGGUAUUCUACCUCUGGAAAAUUAGACUUUGAAACAUUCCCAUCCUACACU